AAGCUGUAUAACCCACAAGUUUUUGACGUCAGAAGUGGAAACAACUUCAGUUAUCAAUUCAAAUGAUAUCUAGUCGAUAUGUUGAAAACCGUGUUGUCUAGAUACAAUGGAUGUAUUUGCACGUUCUUAUUUUAGAACAUUACAGGAACGACAACAUGACAAACGCAGCAUGCCAAACAGAUGCUCCAAGUGUGUCAUCUUGCGGGGCUUAGAAUAUUAGCAAAUGCUUUAGAGGUUUUAUCUUGCAGCCAUGCACUUCAAUGGGAAUGCUGAGUCCCCACAACAGAAGACAGCCAAGGAGAAACUAUGUACAGACUUGCCAAACAAUUUAUCACCCUCUUCCUUAUUGGGAUGCCGUCCAGCGGAUUCCUGUGCCCCAGGACUUGUGUGC